GACGAACGCUGGCGGCGCGCCUAACACAUGCAAGUCGAACGAGCGAGAGAGAGCUUGCUUUCUCAAGCGAGUGGCGAACGGGUGAGUAACACGUGAGAAACCUGCCUUUCACAAAGGGAUAGCCUCGGGAAACCGGGAUUAAUACCUUAUGACACUUAGAUAUCGCAUGAUAAUUAAGUUAAAGAAUUUCGGUGAAAGAUGGUCUCGCGUCUGAUUAGCUAGUUGGUAAGGUAACGGCUUACCAAGGCGACGAUCAGUAGCCGGAUUGAGAGGUUGAACGGCCACACUGGAACUGAGACACGGUCCAG
rnacentral:rRNA from 1 species